AUGCAGUCGACGCGUCUCCGUUGAUGAUUUUAGGUGCUUGCACUUGAGAGAUUUAACAUUGAGACGAGUGGCGAACUGGUGAGUAACACGUGGGUAACCUGCCCUUGAAGUAGGGGAUAACACUUGGAAACAGGUGCUAAUACCGUAUAACAACCAAAACCACCUGGUUUUGGUUUAAAAGACGGCUUCGGCUGUCACUUUAGGAUGGACCCGCGGCGUAUUAGCUUGUUGGUAAGGUAACGGCCUACCAAGGCGAUGAUACGUAGCCGACCUGAGAGGGUAAUCGGCCACAUUGGGACUGAGACACGGCCCAAACUCCUACGGGAGGCAGCAGUAGGGAAUCUUCCACAAUGGACGAAAGUCUGAUGGAGCAACGCCGCGUGAGUGAUGAAGGGUUUCGGCUCGUAAAACUCUGUUGUUGGAGAAGAACAGGUGUCAGAGUAACUGUUGACAUCUUGACGGUAUCCAACCAGAAAGCCACGGCUAACUACGUGCCAGCAGCCGCGGUAAUACGUAGGUGGCAAGCGUUGUCCGGAUUUAUUGGGCGUAAAGCGAGCGCAGGCGGUUUUUUAGGUCUGAUGUGAAAGCCUUCGGCUUAACCGGAGAAGUGCAUCGGAAACCGGGAGGCUUGAGUGCAGAAGAGGACAGUGGAACUCCAUGUGUAGCGGUGAAAUGCGUAGAUAUAUGGAAGAACACCAGUGGCGAAAGCGGCUGUCUGGUCUGUAACUGACGCUGAGGCUCGAAAGCAUGGGUAGCGAACAGGAUUAGAU
rnacentral:rRNA from 2 species